UACGUAGGGUGCAGGCGUUAAUCGGAAUUACUGGGCGUAAAGGGCGCGUAGGCGGCCACUGCAAGUCGGUUGUGAAAUCUCCGGGCUUAACCCGGAAAGGUCAAUCGAUACUGCAGGGCUAGAGUGCGGAAGGGGCAACUGGAAUUCUCGGUGUAGCGGUGAAAUGCGUAGAUAUCGAGAGGAACACCUGCGGCGAAGGCGGGUUGCUGGGCCGACACUGACGCUGACAGCGCGAAAGCUAGGGGAGCGAACGGG
rnacentral:rRNA from 1 species